UACGUAGGGGGCAAGCGUUGUCCGGAAUCAUUGGGCGUAAAGAGCGUGUAGGCGGUCCGAUAAGUCCGCUCUGAAAGCCCGGGGCUCAACCCCGGGAGGCGGGCGGAUACUGUCGGGCUAGAGUCCGGAAGAGGCAAGUGGAAUUCCUGGUGUAGCGGUGAAAUGCGCAGAUAUCAGGAGGAACACCUAUUGCGAAGGCAGCUCGCUGGGACGUAACUGACGCUGAGACGCGAAAGCGUGGGGAGCAAACAGG
rnacentral:rRNA from 1 species